rnacentral:rRNA from 1 species
UACAGAGGGUGCGAGCGUUGUUCGGAAUUAUUGGGCGUAAAGGGCGCGUAGGCGGCGCGGGAAGUCCGUGGUGAAAGCCCGAGGCUCAACUUCGGGUCGGCCAUGGAUACUCCUGGGCUUGAGCACUGUAGAGGCAGGUGGAAUUCCGGGUGUAGCGGUGGAAUGCGUAGAGAUCCGGAAGAACACCCGUGGCGAAGGCGGCCCUG